UUGCACGCUGGCGGCCGGCCUCACACCUGCCAGUCGAACGGUAACAGCAAGCAGCUUGCUGCUUUGCUGACGAGUGGCGGACGGGUGAGUAAUGUCUGGGAAACUGCCUGAUGGAGGGGGAUAACUACUGGAAACGGUAGCUAAUACCGCAUAACGUCGCAAGACCAAAGAGGGGGACCUUCGGGCCUCUUGCCAUCGGAUGUGCCCAGAUGGGAUUAGCUAGUAGGUGGGGUAACGGCUCACCUAGGCGACGAUCCCUAGCUGGUCUGAGAGGAUGACCAGCCACACUGGAACUGAGACACGGUCCAGACUCCUACGGGAGGCAGCAGUGGGGAAUAUUGCACAAUGGGCGCAAGCCUGAUGCAGCCAUGCCGCGUGUAUGAAGAAGGCCUUCGGGUUGUAAAGUACUUUCAGCGGGGAGGAAGGGAGUAAAGUUAAUACCUUUGCUCAUUGACGUUACCCGCAGAAGAAGCACCGGCUAACUCCGUG
rnacentral:rRNA from 1 species